UCGUCAGGUAAGAUAAUCCUUACCUGUUCCUCCUUUCAGAGGACAGAACAGAACAUGAUGAUUGGAGCUCACAUGAUUCGUGAUUAACGGCUGUGCGUAAUCAGGCCUUACAAAAUGUACAUCUUCCUGGGGGUUGCACUCAGUA
rnacentral:snoRNA from 1 species